rnacentral:lncRNA from 1 species
GCCGCCGUGGGGCAGAGCUACGGGGCAGCGCCGUGGGGCGCCCCACGGAUCCCCCCCCCUCACCCUUUCUGUGUCCCCCCCCCCAGUGCACAAAAAACCGCUGCAGGAGGUGGAGAUCGCCGCCAUCACCCACGGGGCGCUGCAAGGCCUGGCUUAUCUCCACGCCCACAACAUGAUCCACAGAGACGUCAAAGCCGGCAACAUCCUGCUGACGGAGCCGGGCCAGGUGAAGUUGGGGGAUUUCGGCUCGGCCUCCAUCGUCGCCCCCGCCAACUCCUUCGUGGGGACGCCCUAUUGGUAAGGGGGCGGGCGAACGGCGGGGAAAACGCUUGUGGGGCUCGGCCCCACGGCGAGGCCCGACCCUCCCUUUGCUUUUUAGGAUGGCGCCCGAGGUGAUUUUGGCCAUGGACGAGGGGCAGUACGACGGCAAAGCCGACGUCUGGUCGUUGGGCAUCACCUGCAUCGAGUUGGGUGAGAAUUCGGGGAGGGUUUGGGGCAGCCCUCGGCGAUGUGGGGCUGCCCCACGGCUCUGACCCCCAAGUUUUUCACCCGGCAGCGGAAAGAAAACCGCCGCUCUUCAACAUGAACGCGAUGAGUGCCUUAUACCACAUUGCGCAAAACGAGUCCCCCGUUCUCCAAGCCAGCCACUGGUGAGACGCCGCCCCCCCACCCCAAAAAAAAAUACUGGGGCGCCCGCGUCCGUCUGUCCCCGUCCUCAUCCCGUUUUGAAACGCCCAGGUCGGAAUAUUUCCGGAAUUUUGUGGAUUCUUGUCUCCAGAAGAUCCCCCCGGACCGUCCCACCUCCGACGUUCUUCUCAAGGUAGAACUUUAAGGGGGGGGGGGACCACGAAGGUCCCGUAACGGGGACGGGGCGCGGGCGGUCCCCAACUUUGGGGACCCCCCCAAUGUCCCCCUUUGUGUCCGUGUGUCCGUCCGUGUCCGUCCCCCCCCCACCAUCUCCCCCAGCACCGGUUCCUGCUGCGGGAGCGUCCCCAGAGGGUGGUGUUGGACCUGAUCCAAAGGACCAAGGACGCCGUCAGGGAGCUGGACAACCUCCAGUACCGGAAAAUGAAGAAAAUUCUCUUC